AAGGAACCUAAAACUCGAAGAGAAGGGAAACUUCCCUUCCAAUUGGAGGAUCUGUGGUUCAAGGUUCUCUCUUUGCCCUCACCAUUUGGCCCCAGAUAGAGACAUCUGCAGUAAGUACACUGCAGACGCCCUGUGGUGGAUUCCCAGUUUUCUAGCUGAAGCACCAAAAAGGGGGCAGAAAGUAAUAGGAAUGCCACAGAAAGGGAGGAGCCUGGGCAAGUUGGGAAAAGCAGUUUGUUAAGUUCUUUAUUAACUCCUGGGUUUAUCCCUGAGCCCAUGCAUGAAUCUGACCCUAAACAGCAUAUACAGAAUUUAAGAACUGAACUAUGAAACAUACCAUUACCCAAGUUCCAAGCUGGCCACCAUUUUUCACACAUAUGAAACGGACCCAAAGAGCACCACAAAACCCUUACACAUGGAAAUGGCAUGAGAACCACAAAGCAUAGAGGGUGGUCAGAACUUGCAGUAUGACCCAAGUGCAUUGUCCACCUGAUGAAAAUAUUGACAUUCUCCAUAUGAUUUAAAGACUUAGAGUCUUGGCCAGGGAUGGUGGCU
rnacentral:lncRNA from 1 species